rnacentral:rRNA from 1 species
CAAUUGCGACCCCAGGUCAGGCGGGGCUACCCGCUGAGUUUAAGCAUAUCAAUA